rnacentral:rRNA from 1 species
UACAACCAUUACGCCAGCAUCCUAGCCGAAGCGCGGACCUCAGUCCCGGCUGGCCGUAUUACACCCUGGGCUAUAACACCUCCACCGAAGUGGAGGCCACAUUCCCAGAGCCUUUAUCCGGCCGCCGAAACUGAUGCUGGCCUGUCCAAACUGAGUAAACCGGUCAGAAGACCGGCCGAACAGUUUAAACAAGUCUGAUUGCAAGCGCUUCCCUUUCAACAAUUUCACGUGCUUUUUAACUCUCUUUCCAAAGUGCUUUUCAUCUUUCGAUCACUCUACUUGUGCGCUAUCGGUCUCUCGCCAAUAUUUAGCUUUAGAAGAAAUUUACCUCCCAUUUAGAGCUGCAUUCCCAAACAACUCGACUCGUCGAAGGAGAUUUACAUAGGGUGCCAUUUCCUGUCACAUACGGGAUUCUCACCCUCUAUGACGUCCUGUUCCAAGGAACUUAGACAGGCGGCUUCCCCAAAUCAUCCUCUACAAAUUACAAUGCGAACCCGAAGGCUAGCUUUCAAAUUUGAGCUGUUGCCGCUUCACUCGCCGUUACUAG